UUGAAAGGGAAACGAUUGAAGUCAGUCGUACCUACGAGUAAUCAACCUACACGAGCGCGAUUUUGUGGGUAUGAAGAGGUAAAACCUUCAUGGUUGCAAAUUGGUGUCCUUUGAGCGUACUUUCUCGUAUGGUAGGUUAACAUCAAUUUCGAUCGUUACAAAAUGACGGGAGGAAUGUAGCUUCGACUUCGGUUGAAGUGUUAUAGCCUCUGGUAGAUGUAAUGAUUGGGAUUGAGGAUUGCAACGGAUACCCUCUGGGCUAUUCGUCUGAUCUCUGGAAGYUACCUUGGUGUCGAAAGCAUGCUUACGACAUUAAGAAUGACGGCCAAAAGGUUAGAACGGAAUUAAAUUCGUUAAGGAUGUUGACGUA
rnacentral:rRNA from 1 species